GAAGACGAAGGAAAAGCACUGACGUCGACUCCGUCGUUGUUCUUCAAUGCUGCGCCUUUAAUUUUCACAGCAUUCCAGUCAAUUUAGAACUUUGGCGAGCGAAAGAGACCGAGUUCAACUUUACCUUUGAGGAAUCACUUCUUUUUGGUCUCUUUAACCUGCUGUUAGCAGAGGCUAUGGAGUCCUACCAAGCAGUUCCGGCAACCUUCGGCUCAGCUGCCGCCGCUGCCGCUGCCAACGGGGCCGGACCAAAGCCGAUCGCCGGCCCUGUCCUUGAGAGCACCAAUAGCUUCAGUGAUGAAUUUAACCCUGAGGAUUUCAUUGGUUUUCUUGAAGUCUUUGUCCACCAAGCUCGUGACAUCCACAACAUCUGCAUCUACCACAAGCAAGAUGUUUUCGCUAAGCUUUGCCUUACCAACAACCCUGAUGUUACUGUCUCGACGCAGACAAUCAACGGCGGAGGUAGGAACCCGGUCUUCAACCAGAACCUCCGACUCAACGUGAAGAACAUCAACUGUUCGAUGAAAUGCGAGAUAUGGAUGCUAAGCAAGGCCAAGAAUUAUCUUGAAGACCAGUUGCUUGGAUUUGCGCUGGUCCCCCUUUCAGAUGUCCUCAUGGCCAACGGAAAGCUGGUGAAGGAGUACUCCCUAUCUUCAACUGAUCUUUUCCAUUCGCCCGCCGGGUUUGUUCAGCUGUCAAUCUCUUAUGUCGGAGCUUCUCCCGAAGUGAUGACAAUUCCAUCACUUCCAAAAUCGCUGAUCGUCGACACUACCUUACCUGAUGCAGAACCUGAUAACUCAAUUCCCUGUGAUUACGAGAAAAUUGAGUUUCCUGACUUGAAAGCCGACAAGGAGAAUCAGCUAAUGGUUUCUGAAUAUUAUGGGAUUCCAUGUACGGACAUGGAAACUCAGAGUUCAGAUAGCUUUGUUACUGCAGAGAAUGAUAAUUGCGCCGGUGAGGAAGCAGGGAUGCGCAUAGUGGAGAGCUUCUCCACCGCCAAUAGUCAUGAUUCCAUUGGAAAUCUUAAACGUGAUACUGCAGCAAGCAGUUUCUCGACCACUGAAUCGACUGUGGUGCUCCCAGCUUCCUCUGAUCCAUUGUCAUCCACAGCAUCGCCGAGGCCAAAUGUCAAAAGUCUCGAAUCUAUGGAAGCUGAGGUCGAUUCUUCUAGAGCAGCAUCAGAUGAUGCAUUCUUCAAGCCUAUUAUCAAGAUAGACGUUCCAGAGCAACCAGUUGUUCAGCAGGACUUUGUUGAUAUGUACAUGAAAAGUAUGCAGCAGUUUACAGAGUCAUUGGCCAAGCUGAAACUUCCUAUGGACAUUGAUAAUAGUAGCACAGCUUCCGAAAAUGGUAACUCAGGUCCGACUCAAGAGAAUGGUAGCUCAGGAUCUGAGAAGACGAUGCCGACUCCAAAGAGCAAUGGUUCCAGAGUUUUUUAUGGAAGCAGGGCAUUCUUCUGAUCUUAUGGAGUGAAGUUCUAUGGUUAACUCAAGAGCUCGUACUUUAACUGGCUGGAACCCCGUGCUGCAUUGCUGAUCUUGUAUUGAGGCCAACCCCUUGAACAAACGCUAAAUAAUUCUGUUAGAUUUUAUCUCGCUAUUUGGUAGGCUUGUAUGUUGUUUUGUAACACGGUUUUAUGUCAUUACGAAUGAAUUUGUAAUCCAUUAAUUACGGGUUUAUGUUAUUGAACUUGAGUUUAUAUAA